UACAGAGACCUCAAGCGUUAUCCGGAAUCAUUGGGCGUAAAGAGCGCGUAGGCGGUCCGAUAAGUCGGCUGUGAAAGUCAGGGGCUCAACCCUUGAAAGCCGGCCGAUACUGUCGGACUAGAGUCCGGAAGAGGCAAGUGGAAUUCCCGGUGUAGCGGUGAAAUGCGCAGAUAUCGGGAGGAACACCAACGGCGAAGGCAGCUCGCUGGGACGGUACUGACGCUGAGGAGCGAAAGCGUGGGUAGCGAACAGG
rnacentral:rRNA from 1 species